GAGUGCACACCUCACGCCCCCCGCUGCCCUGGGAUGCGCUCCAGCCCUCCCCGCGGCUCCCGUCUCUUGGCCGGCGCUCUGCUCCUUAGCGAGUCAGACUGGGUCUCCUUUAACGGUUCUGUCUCCUGUGUGGAUCUACAUAGCUGGUGGCCCGAGCUCUGUAACCAACACUCGAUGAACUUGGGCAAACCAUUAGCUUUUUCGGCCUCCACUUCUCUCUCAAAAAGAGGACUGUACUGAUAAGACGUUUAAAGUACCCAUUCAGCAUUAAUGUCUGAACCUUGGUAGAGCCGGGUCUAGCAUAAGGUCUCCUCUGGCUUCAUUCCCUGGUCUAGCUUCACCCAGUUUCUCUUCCAUCUCCGCUCCCUCAUCCCUCCUACAAGCUAGUCUGCACCUUUUCGUUGAAGUUUAAAAGAGAGCGGUCUCAAAACAGCAGAGUGAAAAGUAGACUUGCUCCGAAACCCAUCCCUCUGUCUUUUCCCCUGCACUUAGCACAAAAAGGGAAGAUCAAAGGUAUGCAUGGAAAAGGUGAAUCUGUGUAAGGCAGUCUCACUAAAAGUACCCAAAGUGCUGACUCCUUCUCCUUUGAUAGAGGGCUUCCAGUUUCUGGAGGGAAGCAUCAGACUGAGUUAUACACCACCAGAUGCUCCCUCUUUCUGGUUUAUUUUUGUGUAUUCAACUUGCCUGAAGUUAGUGCCAGGAGGCAGACAGUGUAUAUUGACAUCUUCCCCACAUUCACAGUUUUAAAAGAUCUAUGUGAAUGCUUCGGCAGAGAGAAUUUAGCCUGUGUUCCUCAAUCUCCCACCCUCACUCCUCCAUGUUGCUCUGAACUUACACUUUCUCCCCCUUCUGCCUUUCUAUGUCAGUAUAUCAAUGUCUGUUCUCCAGCUGUUGGAGAAGUGGCAGCUUUGGGGGUUGGUUGGUCAUGCCAGCCAAUGGACCAGGCUGCAUUUCUGGAGUGGUGAAAAUACACACCAGGUGCUGAUAUUCUAAUGGCUUUUGCAGCUCAUCCCACAAGGUCUCUGAGCUCACAGUUGGUAGGGCUCUCUGCAGAUUUGCAGUCUUUGGUAGAGUUCAGGAAAUCACAACUGUAACUAACUCUUAACUCCCGGUGCUCUGGCUAAGUUGCUAGAUUUAGUAUCUUGGGCAAGAAAUAAGGAGAAAACCUGAAUCCUUUCCAGGAUUUGUCUUCUAUUUGCUUGUGACUCCUGAAGCAUUUGCUGAGGCAUGUAUUAAGUACAAAUCUGAUUUCUUUUAAAUGAGUGGCACAGUUUUUGGUAGUCUUAGAGAAAUCAGUCAAUAGCAGGCAGAGAGGGGCCUGUGAGUACCCGACAGCUGAAGAUAUACUAAGCUAGUUCCCAGAGCAGAAUGUGGGUGGUCGAGUUUGGUCCACCUGUAAUACUGUCUUCCCAGGAGUCUCAGAUGUGAGGUUGAUAGCCCUGCUGAUUGUUCUGUCACACAUCUUGGGCACAUUUUCCUUUCUCAGAUCUGGAAAAGGAAUGCAUAUUUAUUUUCACACAUAU